GCAGUGGGGAAUUUUGGACAAUGGGGGAAACCCUGAUCCAGCCAUUCCGCGUGUGUGAAGAAGGCCUUCGGGUUGUAAAGCACUUUUGGCGGGAAAGAAACGGCGUCGACUAAUACUCGGCGUAACUGACGGUACCCGCAGAAUAAGCACCGGCUAACUACGUGCCAGCAGCCGCGGUAAUACGUAGGGUGCAAGCGUUAAUCGGAAUUACUGGGCGUAAAGCGUGCGCAGGCGGUUCGGAAAGAAAGAUGUGAAAUCCCAGGGCUCAACCUUGGAACUGCAUUUUUAACUACCGGACUAGAGUAUGUCAGAGGGGGGUGGAAUUCCACGUGUAGCAGUGAAAUGCGUAGAUAUGUGGAGGAACACCGAUGGCGAAGGCAGCCCCCUGGGAUAAUACUGACGCUCAUGCACGAAAGCGUGGGGAGCAAACAGGAUUAGA
rnacentral:rRNA from 1 species